UUAUGCUGAUAAGAGCGUAUGGUGGAUGCCUUGGCACUAAGAGCCGAUGAAAGACGUGAUAAGCUGCGAAAAGCUUCGGGGAGGAGCAAAUAUCCUUUGAUCCGGAGAUUUCUGAAUGGGGAAACCUACUUGAGCAAACCUCAAGUAUCCUUAAGCCAAUACAUAACUUAAGGAAGGGAACCCGGUGAACUGAAACAUCUAAGUAGCCGGAGGAAGAGAAAACAACAUGUGAUUCUGUGAGUAGCGGCGAGCGAAAACGGAAGAGCCCAAACCAGCGUGCGUGCAUGCUGGGGUUCGGACCGCGGAAUUGAUUCAACGAGUUUAGCAGAACGGUUUUGGGAAAGCCGGCCAGAGAGGGUGAAAGCCCCGUAAGCGAAAGACGAGUUGACAUGGCGGGAUCCAGAGUACCACGAGACACGUGGAACCUUGUGGGAAGAUGCGGGGACCACCCCGUAAGGCUAAAUACUACUUAGUGACCGAUAGCGCAUAGUACUGUGAAGGAAAGGUGAAAAGGACCCCGGGAGGGGAGUGAAAAAGAACCUGAAACCAUAUGUUUACAAGCUGUGGAAGAGCUUUAUAUGCUCAACCGCGUACUUUUUGUAGAACGGUCCGGCGAGUUACGCUGGCUGGCGAGGUUAAGGACUAAAGGUCCGGAGCCGAAGGGAAACCAAGUCUGAACAGGGCGCAUAGUCAGUCGGAGUAGACCCGAAACCGGGUGAUCUAUCCAUGUCCAGGUUGAAGUUGCCGUAAAAGGCAAUGGAGGACCGAACCCACAUCCGUUGAAAAGGGUGGGGAUGAGGUGUGGAUAGGGGAGAAAUUCCAAUCGAACCCGGAGAUAGCUGGUUCUCCUCGAAAUAGCUUUAGGGCUAGCCUCAUACGAGUCUUGCGGAGGUAGAGCACUGAAUUCCUAAGGGGGCGUCAAAGCUUACUAAGGGAUAUCAAACUCCGAAUGCCGUGUAGAUGAUGUAUGGGAGUCAGACGAUCCGAGAUAAGUUGGGUGGUCAAAAGGGAAAGAGCCCAGACCAACAGCUAAGGCCCCAAAAUGUGUGUUAAGUGGAAAAGGAUGUGGGAUUUCGAAGACAACUAGGAUGUUGGCUCAGAAGCAGCCAUUCAUUCAAAGAGUGCGUAAUAGCUCACUAGUCGAGAGGUCCUGCGCCGAAAAUGUCCGGGGCUAAAACACACUGCCGAAGCUUUGGAAUUGAGAAUUCAAUUGGUAGAGGAGCAUUCUUAAAGGGACGAAGCAGUACCGGAAGGAGCUGUGGACUUUUAAGAAGAGAGAAUGCCGGAAUGAGUAGCGAGAGGAAGGUGGGAAUCCUUCCGGCCGAAUAUCUAAGGUUUCCAGAGUAAAGCUGAUCUGCUCUGGGUAAGUCGGGGCCUAAGGCGAGGUCGAAAGACGUAGUCGAUGGAUAACAGGUUGAAAUUCCUGUACUAUCCUGUAACAGAACUGUGGGGACACAGGCAGAGAGCGUGAGCCGGGAAUGGAAAGACCGGUACAAGCGAGGUAGGAGAAGAGUUGGCAAAUCCGCUCUUUAAUCUGAAGACGUGAUGUGGACUGAAAAUAAGUAGGGAAGCACGUGAGCUGACUGUCAAGAAAAGCCGCUAUUGUUUGCAGGAUACCCGUACCGUAAACCGACACAGGUGGAUGAGGAGAGAAUCCUAAGGCCGACGGGAGAAGCAUUGUUAAGGAACUCGGCAAAAUGACUCCGUAACUUCGGGAGAAGGAGUGCCAGUAAGAUGGCCGCAGAGAAUUGGCCCAAGCAACUGUUUAGCAAAAACACAGGUCUAUGCAAAACCGAAAGGUGAGGUAUAUGGGCUGACGCCUGCCCGGUGCUGGAAGGUUAAGGGGAGAGGUUAGCGCAAGCGAAGCUUUGAACUUAAGCCCCAGUAAACGGCGGCCGUAACUAUAACGGUCCUAAGGUAGCGAAAUUCCUUGUCGGGUAAGUUCCGACCCGCACGAAAGGCGUAAUGAUUUGGGCACUGUCUCAACAAUGCACCCGGUGAAAUUGAAAUACCAGUGAAGAUGCUGGUUACCUGC
rnacentral:rRNA from 1 species